GAGGCCAACACUCAAUUACUUUUUUUAAUUUUUCUUUUUCUUGAUAUACUUCGUUAACCGGUCCACAACAUCAUGGAUCUCGUCCAAAUCUAAUUAUUUCCUGUUGAAUUUGAAAAAAUUAGCAAUUUUUAAAGAAUUAUAUUAUUUUAUAAUGAUUUAUAUAUAACAACUUACAACAAUUUUAGGAUCCAUGAGGUGGUAUUUUUGUUUCGUCAGCGCACGAGCAUCCGAAUAGCCAUAUUAAAUGAUUCAAGAUCCAACUCUUUUUCCUCUUGUAAAAUAUUAAUAAUAUUUCAUAUAUAAAAUAUCUAAAACCAUGGAACCAUUCAGAAUCAAUGUUAAAUGAUUCAUGAUCCAACUCUUGUAAAAUAUCUGAAACCAUGGAACAAUUCAGAUGUAUAUGCAUAUAGAUUCAGAUGUAUAUGCAACCAUUCAGAUGUAUAUGCAUAUACUACAGAACCAUGCAUGUUGAGAUCAAAAUACUACUACUGGUUUCAUGUUGCCGUUAGGGACCUAAGCAAGACAAUUACAUGGUUUAAUUUAUGACAUGCAGCGGGGGUAACACCUAAGCACUAUAAUGAUCGGCGCAUACUUGUACCAUUAGUUACUACUUGUAUUAUUUAGAGGAAGAUACAAAAAUUUGCUUGCAGUCAGUAAAACGUAACCUACGGUCUAUGUUAAAGAUCAAAAGCCAAAAAUAAUUUGCAAAAGCAUUGUAAUUUUUACUGUUUGUACGCUCUUGUGUAUGAAUCACAAAAUCACCUGGUAGUUGUCGAUCCAAAGGUUCAUCUCCCUGCCGUCC
rnacentral:lncRNA from 1 species